UCAUUGUCGCGCGAGACCUAAAUUUCCCAAAUCCCUAAUUUCGACUUCGCCGGCCAAUCAAAUCUCUCUGCUCACGCCACGCCCUUCGUCUCCGCCCUCCAAUCCUCCAUCGCCGGUCACGCUCCAGCCGGCAGCAGCCUCCAUCACCAUCGCCGAUCACGCUCCAGGCCUCCAACCGCUUCUUCUCGCAGACUCGCAGUCGCAGCAGGCUUCGUCCGUUCUUCGUCGCAGUUGGUCUCAGUCGGCAGUCGCAAGCUUCUUCGGUCGUCGGUCCAAUGAAGCGUCCAGACUCCCAGUGGCAGUCGUAGGCCUCCAUCUUCACAGCACCUGGAGAAGAUUCUUUUGCCAAGAGAAAGGAAGAAAAGAAGAAGGGAGUUGAUAAGCAAGAGAAAAAUAGAUUGCAAAACUUGAAACAGGCUGCAAAAGUUGGUGCAGUGCCAAGAAGGUUGUAUCUGCCAUUCUUACUUCAGCGAGUGAUCCAAAUUGGCGUACCAGAUCAACUACAUCAACCUUUUUGCGAAGUUUCAUGUACAGAUAUUUGAACAGCCCACCUACUCCAUUAAUGAAAUAGAAGAAAUCCGCGAGUUGUGGGCACAAUACUUUGUAGAUCGGUGCUUGUAACUUU